GACGAACGCUGGCGGCGUGCUUAACACAUGCAAGUCGAACGGAAAGGCCCCUUUGGGGGUACUCGAGUGGCGAACGGGUGAGUAACACGUGAGUAACCUGCCCUUGACUUCGGGAUAACUUCAGGAAACUGGGGCUAAUACCGGAUAGGAAUCCUUGCUGCAUGGUGGGGGUUGGAAAGCUUCGGCGGUUUUGGAUGGACUCGCGGCUUAUCAGCUUGUUGGUGGGGUAGUGGCUUACCAAGGCUUUGACGGGUAGCCGGCCUGAGAGGGCGACCGGCCACAUUGGGACUGAGGGACGGCCCAGACUCCUACGGGAGGCAGCAGUGGGGAAUAUUGCACAAUGGGCGGAAGCCUGAUGCAGCAACGCCGCGUGCGGGAUGACGGCCUUCGGGUUGUAAACCGCUUUCAGCAGGGGCGAAGCUUGUGGUGACGGUACCUGCAGAAGAAGCACCGGCUAACUACGUG
rnacentral:rRNA from 1 species